AGUGAACGCUGGCGGUAGGCCUAACACAUGCAAGUCGAACGGCAGCACAGUAAGAGCUUGCUCUUACGGGUGGCGAGUGGCGGACGGGUGAGGAAUACAUCGGAAUCUACUUUUUCGUGGGGGAUAACGUAGGGAAACUUACGCUAAUACCGCAUACGACCUACGGGUGAAAGCAGGGGAUCUUCGGACCUUGCGCGAUUGAAUGAGCCGAUGUCGGAUUAGCUAGUUGGCGGGGUAAAGGCCCACCAAGGCGACGAUCCGUAGCUGGUCUGAGAGGAUGAUCAGCCACACUGGAACUGAGACACGGUCCAGACUCCUACGGGAGGCAGCAGUGGGGAAUAUUGGACAAUGGGGCCAAGCCUGAUCCAGCCAUACCGCGUGGGUGAAGAAGGCCUUCGGGUUGUAAAGCCCUUUUGUUGGGAAAGAAAAGCAGCAGGUUAAUACCCCGCUGUUCUGACGGUACCCAAAGAAUAAGCACCGGCUAACUUCGUG
rnacentral:rRNA from 1 species